rnacentral:lncRNA from 1 species
AUCAAUGACUCAAAAGAAACUUGGCGUCUUGCUGUUCGAAUAAUGGAUGUUUGGAGUGUUGUGAAUAAUAAGGGUAUUGAACAUUUGGAGAUGAUUGUUAUGGAUUCCUUGGUAAAUUGCUUUUCUUUUUUUAAGUAUAGAUUUUUGUAUGAUAGUUAGUAAUUACAACAAAAUGCUUUUUUGUAUAACAUAUAAAAAGAAGAUUAUUUUCAUUUUGUUAGGGUGAUCGGAUUCAGGUCCUUAUUCGUCAUGACCAUUUACUGAAAUGGAAAGAGGUCAUUA